rnacentral:rRNA from 1 species
UACAGAGGUGGCAAGCGUUGUUCGGAAUUACUGGGCGUAAAGGGCGCGUAGGCGGUCUUUUAAGUUCCGUGUGAAAUCCCUCGGCUCAACUGGGGAACUGCACGGAAAACUGGGAGGCUUGAGUUCGGGAGAGGGAAGCGGAAUUCCGGGUGUAGCGGUGAAAUGCGUAGAGAUCGGGAGGAAGGCCGGUGGCGAAGGCGGCGCUCUGGAACGUAUCUGACGCUGAGACACGAAAGCGUGGGGAGCAAACAGG